rnacentral:rRNA from 1 species
AUGUCACGUCGAGGUACUGCAGAAAAAAGAACUGCAAAAUCCGAUCCAAUUUUUCGUAAUCGAUUAGUUAACAUGGUGGUUAACCGUAUUAUGAAAGACGGAAAAAAAUCAUUGGCUUAUCAAAUUCUCUAUCGAGCCGUGAAAAAGAUUCAACAAAAGACAUAAACAAAUCCACUAUUGGUUUUACGUCAAGCAAUACGUAGAGUAACUCCCAAUAUAGGAGUAAAAACAAGACGUAAUAAAAAAGGAUCGACGCGGAAAGUUCCGAUUGAAAUAGGAUCUGAACAAGGAAGAGCACUUGCCAUUCGUUGGUUAUUAGAAGCAUCCCAAAAGCGUCCGGGUCGAAAUAUGGCUUUCAAAUUAAGUUCCUAACUAGUAGAUGCUGCCAAAGGGAGUGGGGGUGCCAUACGCAAAAAGGAAGCGACUCAUAGAAUGGCAGAGGCAAAUAGAGCUCUUGCACAUUUUCGUUAA